UGGUUCUGGCAUCGAUGAAGAACGCAGCGAAAUGCGAUAAGUAAUGCGAAUUGCAGAAUUCCAGUGAGUCAUCGAAUCUUUGAACGCACAUUGCGCCCUUUGGUAUUCCGAAGGGCAUGCCUGUUCGAGCGUCAUUAUCACCCCUCAAGCCCCGUGCUUGGUGUUGGACGGCCGGUCGAGUCCCCUCGACCCCUCCUUAAGUAAAUGACGGCGGCCUGUGGUUCCCCCGGUACAAUGAGCUUUUCACCGAGCACGUACUGGACAAGGGCGCUCAGGACCCGGUCUUCUCCUCUCACGAGGAAAUAUUUUUCAAGGUUGACCUCGGAUCAGGUAGGAAUACGCGCUGA
rnacentral:misc_RNA from 1 species